rnacentral:lncRNA from 1 species
UUUGUAAGGUGUUUGGUUUGAGAUUGCAUUAAAUGCAUAAUAUUUUCUUUAUUGAACUCUUCUUCUAUAUAUCUCGUCUGGAGAUGUUGAAAGAUAAGUGCUUGAAUGGCCAGAGGUCGCUGCAGGUCGACGACGACGUGGAAAUUUAACGUUUUCUUGAUGAGUCGCCUUACACGUAUACAAAGGGACGUGGAUAGUUUGCAUAGUGAGUUCUGAGUCACAGAAACUAAAGAAAAAAUGCCUUGGAUUUAACAAGAAACGCGUGUCUUCUGUAUAUGGUUCACUGAGAAUUUCGAAAAUUAUCCGCCAGAAUUUGAAUUAAGCAGUUGAAGGUGAGUCCAGCAAAGUAAGUGCCCGUUUGGGAACGGAAGAGAACGGAAGAUCAGUUAAACUACUGAUACGUUCAUGAAAAGAAAGAAAAAGGCGGCCAUGGUGGCUGGCUAGCUAAGAACAAAUGCUCGGGUAGUACGUCGUCAGAAAGCAGAAGCACUUCUAGCAUUGGUGUGUUUACACUUGUUGGAAAUUUAUGUUGCCUUAAUUUUGACUACCUAAAUUAUAUAUAUAUAUA